CAAGUCUUCUCCCUGGGCAUUCUUACCUUAAAGGCACAGAUCUGAUGUGCCCUUUAAAGGUUAUCCAUGCGCUCAGAGAGACAGCCAGUUUGGCAAGUGAUCUCUAGAGGUAUUUAUUAACCAACGAGUUAGAAUGGCCGGGACACUGCAGCGCUUGGUGUUAACAGUCCUGAGCUUGCCCUUAUACCCUCCACAGCCAUCUCAAGGCUUGUAGAACAGAAGGCCAGGCCCAUGUCAAGGCAUCAUGGACUGGGUAGACUGUCCCUGAGAGUAGGAGGUACAUUAAAAUGUGCAACUGUGGCUGCAGCUAUAGACAACACAUGUAAUUUACUCAUGUGAAUCCAAGAAACGGGGUUCAAUUGGCAUCACAACAAAAAUGGGAGGAUGGGACAUUUCCUGUAGCACACUACUGCUGCCGACUGGGUAAGAUGGUGAAGGGAAGGGGCAGGCUCAUAGAGCUGGUGGCCAGCACUGGAUCCAAGGUGGAGCACUCAGUUAAAAAGAUGAGAUUGUUCUUCCUGGCCAUGGAGACGUCAGCAACUUGUUCCAGUACUCGUUCCUGCACGCUGAGUUUCAAUCAUUAUCAUUAUUUUUGCCAUCUUUCGUGCCAUGCAGUGUUGUAUUUAGUCAAAUCAAACAGAUAUUUCUUUAAUGUUUUUAUUCCUAUCUACUGAUGUCAGCCAGUGUAUGGCUUUGGGUUGACUGUGUUGCUUGAAUGGAAUGUUGCCAUAUUGGCAGUUAAUUUGACAAAUUCAUGAACAUUUCUAUGCUCGAGGAAGGAUCAUCCCCUUCACUGAUAGGUAGCAUAUUUAAAGGAUAGGCCUCUUAAAGAGCUUAAACCCCUUAAGAAUAACCAAAGGCUCUGGUCUCCUGCAGCAUAGGGAUUCCUCUCUAAGUGUGUGUGUGUGUGUGUGUGUGUGUGUGUGUGUGUGUGUGUGUGUGUGUGCGCGUGAACAUGUAUGUGCGCCUGUGAUUGUGUGUGUGUGUCGAUGGGGAUGCGGGUGCGUGUGCGUGCCUGAAGUUCAAUUCUCUCCCACAGCACCAAGAACAAUGUUUUGAAGCAUGUUUUCCUCCAUAUGCAGAAGAUUACUGCAACUCAACAACCACAAUGACAGUGACAUGACAAUAAUAAGGUUGUUAUUGAUGAUGAUAAAAACAGAUUAUCAUAUUUGUUGUCUUUUAUCAUAUAUGAUAGUACUAGCUUCUUGUAGACAAAUACUCAAUGGUGUGCGUUUGACACUGACGUCAUAAUUAUCCAUGACAAGUACACAGCUGAUUUGCCAACUCAGCUAAUGAGCCCGAGCAAUGCUCAUAAAUAUUCACAAACUCAAUUAGCUUCACUAACUCUAAUGGAACAUGCCAGGAUGAUGAAAAUGAUAUAUUCUGAAUCAAGGGGUGAUGGAGAAUAGAUAGGGUCUGCAUACACCAAUCCUACACUUGGCACAGGCCCUUGCUCCCCAUACCUACUUUUUCUCACCCCCUAUCCACCAAAAGCCCCUCCAGAGGGGUGACUUACAGACGAUUCUGCUGCCAGUUCUCAUGCUAGCUAAUUAAAGCCUCAUCUUCACUCCCCUUCUCACUGGUCACCACCAACAUUAUGUUUGUUUUGCUGCACUCACCUUAUUUAGGAUGAAAAGGGCAAUCAAUAAUAAUUCAUGUCAGUGUGUGCACUGCAAUAAUGUCACUAGAGUCUCUACAGAGGAAUGGGCUGUGUUCUGUCAAUACAGGUUAGUGAUUCUCAACCUAUUAUCCCUGUCUCAAGGAAUAAAUGAACAGUACUUUCUCUGGAAACUAGCAUUAGCUGGAGCUUAGCUAGCCGGAAGAGUUUUGCAUAAUAAAGACCCCCUUUUACAAGUCCCAAAGUGGGCACCAAGGUUCACUUUGGUAUGGUGUGCUUCCCUCAGGAAACAAGUCUAAUUGUCACUGUCAUGACGUUGCCCAGUUGGUGAGGUUUAUAACCCCCAUAAAUACCUUCCCCCCCUCUAAUCUACAGAUUGAACUCUUGGAAAGCCCUUUUGUUAACAUAGGGAGAGUAUUGUAACACCAAAAGUUUGGGGAAAAGAACAAUCUUUAGGUAAUCCAACCAGUUGAAGGUAUCCGUUGAUACUUAACGAAUAUGAUGUCAGAUCAGUUGUCGUCUGAGACAUUAUUACUGAUGAUAGGAUGACAUAAAAAGUUGAUUUGCGAAUUUUCAUGGACAUUGGUUUCAUAUUGCCUUAGUAAUAAUGGUGGAAUUUAACAUUGAUUUUCAACCAAUGCAUAUACUAUAGUGGGGUCUAUUGCCACAAUAAUCAAAUCAAAUGUAUUUAUAUAGCCCUUCUUACAUCAGCUGAUAUCUCAAAGUGCUGUACAGAAACCCAGCCUAAACCUCCAAACAGCAAGCAAUGCAGGUGUAGAAGCACGGUGGCUAGGAAAAACUCCCUAGAAAGGCCAAAACCUAGGAAGAAACCUAGAGAGGAACCAGGCUAUGAGGGGUGGCCAGUCCUCUUCUGGCUGUGUCGGGUGGAGAUUAUAACA
rnacentral:lncRNA from 8 species